CAGGACGAACGCUGGCGGCGUGCCUAAUACAUGCAAGUCGAACGGUCUUUCUAUGGAAGCUUGCUUCCACUGAGAAGAUAGUGGCGAACGGGUGAGUAACACGUGGGUAACCUGCCCAUAAGAGGGGGAUAACAUCCGGAAACGGGUGCUAAUACCGCAUAGUUUCUUGAUCGCAUGAUCGGGAAAGGAAAGACGGCCUUUGUGCUGUCGCUUAUGGAUGGACCCGCGGCGUGUUAGUUAGUUGGUGAGGUAACGGCUCACCAAGACGAUGAUACGUAGCCGACCUGAGAGGGUGAUCGGCCACAUUGGGACUGAGACACGGCCCAAACUCCUACGGGAGGCAGCAGUAGGGAAUCUUCCGCAAUGGACGAAAGUCUGACGGAGCAACGCCGCGUGAGUGAAGAAAAGGUUUUCGGAUCGUAAAACUCUGUUGUCAGAGAAGAACAAGUUGGAGAGUAACUGCUCCAGCCUUGACGGUAUCUGACCAGAAAGCCACGGCUAACUACGUGCCAGCCGCUGC
rnacentral:rRNA from 1 species